UACGGAGGAUGCAAGCGUUAUCCGGAUUUAUUGGGUUUAAAGGGUGCGUAGGCGGCGACAUAAGUCAGUGGUGAAAUAUUCCGGCUCAACCGGGAGACUGCCAUUGAAACUGUGUUGCUAGAAUAUGGUUGCUGUGGGUGGAAUGUGUGGUGUAGCGGUGAAAUGCUUAGAUAUCACACAGAAUAUCGAUUGCGAAGGCAGCUCACAAAGCCAUUAUUGACGCUGAGGCACGAAAGUGUGGGGAUCAAACAGGAUUAGAUACCCUGGUAGUCCACACCGUAAACGAUGAUAACUCGCUGUCGGCGAUACACAGUCGGUGGCCAAGCGAAAGCGAUAAGUUGUCCACCUGGGGAGUACGACCGCAAGGUUGAA
rnacentral:rRNA from 1 species